rnacentral:rRNA from 1 species
CCUGGUGUUCAUGGCGUAGUGGAACCACACUGACCCAUCCCGAACUCAGAGGUGAAACGCUGCUGCGGCGAAAAUAGUGGGUGGGUGACUGCCUGUGAAGAUAGCUCAGUGCCAGGA